GGAGAGAUGGCCGAGAGGCUUAAGGCGGCGGUUUGCUAAACCGUUGUACGGUAGUAAUGUCGUACCGGGGGUUCGAAUCCCCCUCUCUCCG
rnacentral:tRNA from 1 species